ensembl:lncRNA
CCAGAGAAAAAGCCUGUGUGGGUGUACUGGGUCAAGAAUGCCUUUUCAAAGCGUGCCUUACACCCCUGCGCCCCAGGGAGGGUUAGGUUCCGGCAGAAAACUUCACAGUAGGAGGGAAAAGGGAACACCCCGUGUCUGUUCUCCAGGAUGCACCCUGCUUUUCUACCCUCUUCUGUGACCCAAAAGAUCUGGACCACCUUAGGCUCCAGGCUCCCAUCAGCAUCACAGCCCAUCAGUGUCAGGGGCAACAACUGAAAGCAAUUGAGAAGAAAGCAAAAUCUUCAUCAGGGUUCCUGGGAAAACAGCUGCAGAGAUUCCAGGUUCAUCCACCGCAAAGCUUCUCCCUACUCAUCUCUCCAUCUCUCCCCUCCCUUCCCCAAUCUCCCCUAGUCCCCAUCCCCCCAAAUAGCCUUCAGUCUCUUCUUUCUCUCUCAAAAAACCUCUCCCCCUGCCUUGCCAGAUCUGCUUCCACCCAAAGAAUCCUUCCUUUAAAAUCUCCCUACUGUGGGCUGCCUCUGCAGGCCAUUCUUAAUCCCCAUGUCAAAAGGCUGGAGAGCCUGGACGUCAGGACCGAAUUUUCCAGCUCUCCACCCUGUGACUCCCAGCUUCUCUGAUCCUGUCUGUAUUUACUGCUGUCACCCCUUAACCUGUCAGGUGUAAGCCCAUUUCCUAGUGAUGCCAAAAGACCCGAACACCUUAAUUCUGGAAACUCACCAAGGGUCAAGCGUUUACUCAGGCAUUAAAGCUGUCUGUGCUAGAGCAAUUUAGAUUUGUAUUUGCAAGGAAAACAUAACUAGUCCAGCAGACAUCCAUGUAUAGCUUUUCUCCAUUAACUCAAGCAAGCAAAAAGAAGCACCAUCAGCCAUAUAGAACAAGUCCCAGGGGCCUUUCUCCCGCUGGCAAAGAAGAGAAAGAGGAGAAACACUGUAGCAGCCCACGCCCCAUCCCCAGGCUCAGGCCCAAUCUCACUCUAAGAGUUUGGGGAGCCCCAGUCUCAGUGAGGAGGGGGCACACUUUAGGAUUGAAAGUUUCCAUGUCCCGGAUCAUCCAAGUCUAGCGUUCCUGUGAGUUUUGACUUGAGGUGAGGUCAGUACAGGCCGCAGGCGGGAAAUGUGCUCAAAUGCUGACUGCCUGGAAGGUCUUUUCCAUUUCGGAGUGUCGGCUGUGGGUCAGACCGUCUCAGGGAAUAAACUGUAAGUGGAGACACACACUCCAGCAGCCAGAAUCCAAAGCAAAUAAAACAUGUGCCAUCCUGAAGUCCUUUCACAGGAGAGAGGAAUCCCACUGAGGCAAGCAAGGAAAGCAGUGUAAAAGAGGUUUUAACAAUGGAACAAAGAUGAAAACCCUCAAAAUAGCAAGAUGGCCUUUUCUUUCAUUCAUUCAAGGGAACACUCAGCACCUUCUUUGAGUCAGGUUCCAUGGUAAAGCACAGAGAGGCUGCCUAAUUGACACUCUCAUCAGUCACCAAUAAAAGGGAAGGCGUGGCAGAAGACUCGAGGAUGUCAGAAAGAAGCACAACCUGAGUAGAGGUGAGGCAGAGACCAGGGUUGCCCAAGGUCAUGGCAAGAGACGAGGUGGAGGGAGCCCUCCCUUUCUGACUGCUGGCUCAGUGGUCAGUCCACGCUGACCAAAAGAGGCUGCUUGUACUAUGCAAGUAAAAUAUGAACGCCCAGGUUGUUGGGGAGCAAGAAGACACUCCGAAUACGAGGUGGAAAGGGGGAGCCGGGAGCAGGAGAAACCGGACUUCCCUUUUAUGUGUUGCUUCAUGCCUCUGCUGGUGAACAGCAGGAGGAGAGAGAAAUGGCUGACUCCAAACCCACAGUUCCUGCCCUGGAGUGAAAUAAAAUACUCCGAGGCUGGUGUUUCAAUUGGUGCAAGAUUCUGAAGAGAGCCGAACACUCCCUCUUCCUUUUUGGGACAUGAAUUCCCCAGCUGAAAAAAUGCAUCACUUGGCCUUACCUGCCCUACUCCAUCACCACCUCCUUCUCAGGGAUGUCGUGACAAAGAGGUGACGGUAUCCCAUGGCUUGGAUGCUGCCUCCGCCAGAUGACACCUGACACGGGGGCAAGGUUCUUCUCAACACAGAUAGACACGUACUCACCCCGCAGCUGGAAAUUUUCCCAACAGCGCCCAUUUGGAAAUUCCAUUGUCAGUUAUAAAACAGACCUCCCCCGAGGUUGAGAGGAGGAGGGAAAGGCAGAGAUGAGUCUGAAAAUCCAAAGGACUGUAUGGUCUAAGAAUGAAAUGUUUUCUAAAUCAAAUUAAGCUACACGGUGAAAAUUGAGGAGAAAGUCCUUAAGGUGACUUUUAAAUGAAAAUGAAAUGUCUGCUAGUAAGCUACAGAGGUGUAUUGGUACCGAGUGGCAGCCUUGUAUCUCAUUAAUUUCAAACAUAGAUUUUUAUGUGAGGCUAUUUGAUUAUAAUUUGAUUAUCUGACCCUGUAAUUAAAGUUUAUUGCCAAUUUGGAAGCUUACAUGUAAAAUGAACUGGUUUUCUUCAAAGCAAUAUACAAUCCUUCGGACUCAUUGACUUCUGGUUUUGCAUUUAAAUGGAAAAGUCAGUUAUAACGUGACAAACAGGUUGGGGUUUUGAUCAUUAAUCCUGCUAAAGCAAUAUUCAUAAAUUCAAUUCUGAAUCAGUUGGAAUACUUUUCUUUUAUUAGUUUCUGUGUUAUUAAAUGAGAUUGUUUCUGACUAAUAUAUUUCUGGACUCAAACUGUAGCUCCAAGCUGUUAUUCAAAUCAAAUAACAUGCCCCUUACUUGUGCCUCGCACUAAUAAAUGCCAACUUGUGAUACAUUUGCAAGAGACUGUCAGCAAUAUUAAAGGAGGCAAUAACGC